GUGCUUUGUCGCGCAGACUAAACUGAAACAUUAAAAGAUUCAGAAAAUGGACUAUUUUACAUGUAUGACUUGCAUAAGUGUGAGAAAUCACAGACCAUUUAAUAAAUCCAUUGACAAUCAUUCAUCUAUUUCAGUUAAACACAGAAUAGGCGUUACAGGAUUGUUUAUUGAUAAAUUCAUUUGGCAUUUUGGAAAUGAAACGUUUUUCGGGCAUGUUGUAAAAGAGUUAAAAUCUAAUCCCGGUCCAAAAUGCAUUAAAGACGAACAAAUUAUACUACAUGACAAUAUUAGAUUGAAAUGGCAUUUUACGUGUGUUAUAAUAAUUUGGUCUCACAAGGAACAAAAAAUACUAAAAAGUGGGCUUGGUUAUUAUUAUAGAUCUGGAUUUGUAGUGACCGUAAAACAUGUCAUUGAGAAUCUUGAUGAUUGUAGUAUACUUGUAAUGUUUCCGCAAUAUGAAAAUUGUCUCAUGUAUUUGGUUCAUUGUGCAGAAACAAAUCAAAACCAGGAUUUGGCUAUACUUAAGUUGCAAGGUUCUGUGGAUCCUCUACAAUUUGAAAAUAUAAAAACAACAACAAAUCGAAUUUACAUAAACGACAGCAUUUAUUUUUUUUCUCUGAACACUAAAGGUACCUUCGAAAAAAAGAAGGGCAAAAUUAUGAAGCACCAUCCCGGCGUAAAAGACAUGCUCGAAAAUGAAUUACUGAUUUCUGUAGUAGGGAUUAAAGGGGACAGUGGAGGUCCUGUUUUUUCUUCAAAAAGUGGAAAACUGAUUGGGCUAUUUAGAGGGGUUUCCACAUCCAAAUGUGGAUUACAAGAAUAUGGCCGGGUUGUAAAAAUUGAUGAGUCUUUUCUAAAUUGUAAUUAAAAAGAAAAAAUGGCAAUAAAAAUAUUAAAUAAAUAAAAAAUCAAUAAAAAAAUACAAAAAAGUACAAAUAAAUGAAAAUAUAAAUAAUUAGUUAUUGAUUUUUGAAUAAUUUUAAUUAGACUUCCUACACCGCCAUAGUCCCCACACCCCCAUCUUGUGAUCUGACUGUCAUUGAAGGCUCUAAAACAGGAGUGUCUAAAUCGGAUGGAUGGCUUCUGUCCUGCAGAGUUUGCCUGCAAGUCUUCAGGACAAAGAAACUUCCAGGCAGUGUUGAGGCUAAACUCUGCAGGACCGCAGCCCUCCAGGAACCGAGUUUGACACCCAUGUUAUUUGACAAUGUUGCAGUUCUCACAGCAAGUCUGUACUUGUAAAAUUGCUCCGUCUGGCAGCGUCCCGAAGAGAGAUCUUGUGCCUUACCCAAAACAACAUCUUGUGUCCUGUGUUGGUCUGGAGAUGUUUUGUGUGUUGCAGCCUUGCAGGAGUGAUAUUGAAAUGCAUCUUGGACAAAAGUGGUUCUGCAACGCAUCUUGGACAAAAACAUCAAUGUUUUAAGGAAAUGCGUCUCACUUCAUCUCAACAUCAUGCUGAAAACACCUACAGCCGAACAUCCUCCAGACUGCACUCUGAAUGGCACUUCGGGUCAAGCCUCGGUCCAGUCAAGCGGACUGUCUCACUUUCCCUCUCUCUUCGUAUAACAUAAAAAUCUUUGUUUUUUUUUUGAGAACAUUGUUGUCAUUAAAAAGCAAAGAACAAA